GGCGUAAAGCGAGCGCAGGCGGUUUGAUAAGUCUGAAGUUAAAGGCUGUGGCUCAACCAUAGUUCGCUUUGGAAACUGUCAAACUUGAGUGCAGAAGGGGAGAGUGGAAUUCCAUGUGUAGCGGUGAAAUGCGUAGAUAUAUGGAGGAACACCGGUGGCGAAAGCGGCUCUCUGGUCUGUAACUGACGCUGAGGCUCGAAAGCGUGGGGAGCGAACAGGAUUAGAUACCCUGGUAGUCCACGCCGUAAACGAUGAGUGCUAGGUGUUGGAUCCUUUCCGGGAUUCAGUGCCGCGGCUAACGCAUUAAGCACUCCGCUGGGGAGUACGACCGCAAGGUUGAAACUCAAAGGAUUGACGGGGCCCGCACAAGCGGUGAGCAUGUGGUUUAAUUCGAAGCAACGCGAAGAACCUUACCAGGUCUUGACAUCCCUUGACACGCCUAGAGAUAGGCCGUUCCUUCGGGGACAAGGUGACAGGUGUGCAUGGUUGUCGUCAGCUCGUGUCGUGAGAUGUUGGGUUAACGUCCCGUAACGAGGUACCGG
rnacentral:rRNA from 1 species